rnacentral:rRNA from 1 species
UGCGAACUCCUACGGGAGGCAGCAGUGGGGAAUUUUGGACAAUGGGGGCAACCCUGAUCCAGCAAUGCCGCGUGAGUGAAGAAGGCCUUCGGGUUGUAAAGCUCUUUUGUCAGGGAAGAAACGGUAGUAGCUAAUAUCUAUUACUAAUGACGGUACCUGAAGAAUAAGCACCGGCUAACUACGUGCCAGCAGCCGCGGUAAUACGUAGGGUGCAAGCGUUAAUCGGAAUUACUGGGCGUAAAGAGUGCGCAGGCGGUUGUGUAAGUCAGAUGUGAAAUCCCCGGGCUCAGCCUGGGAAUUGCAUUUGAGACUGCACGGCUAGAGUGUGUCAGAGGGGGGUAGAAUUCCACGUGUAGCUGUUAAAUGCGUAGAUAUGUGGAGAAAUACCGAUGGCGAAGGCAGCCCCCUGGGAUAACACUGACGCUCAUGCACGAAAGCGUGGGGAGCAAACAGGAUUAGAUACCCUAGUAGUCCAGAUG